rnacentral:lncRNA from 1 species
AGAGGGCCUGCAUUUACUUCUGCAGUGUGUUGGAAUACAAGACUCAUGAAGAAGGAGCAAACUGAGUAAAGUUGCCUGGACCAGCCAUGGUGCUGAUGCCUGCGUGGAGGCAGGAGGAGAUGGAGAAGAGUACUCUGCACUGCCUCAAUAGCUGAAGUUUACUGUUGCUCCUGAUGUCAAGGAAUGUGUUGGAGGAGCCCAACUCUGGCCCAGGCUCUCUGCAUCUUCAGUGACAUGCUAUCAUGCUGUGUAUAGAGAGAAUAAGUUGUGUUCGUCCAGGAGAUGGGAAGGGACCUGUUUACCCUGCGGGUGCAGAAUCAGAGCAGCUAACGAAGGAUAUUGAUAAACCUGUCUGUCAUUUUACGCGCUUCUAA